GUACACUCCUACGGGAGGCAGCAGUGGGGAAUAUUGCACAAUGGGCGCAAGCCUGAUGCAGCCAUGCCGCGUGUAUGAAGAAGGCCUUCGGGUUGUAAAGUACUUUCAGCGGGGAGGAAGGCAAUACGGUUAAUAACCGUGUUGAUUGACGUUACCCGCAGAAGAAGCACCGGCUAACUCCGUGCCAGCAGCCGCGGUAAUACGGAGGGUGCAAGCGUUAAUCGGAAUUACUGGGCGUAAAGCGCACGCAGGCGGUCUGUCAAGUCGGAUGUGAAAUCCCCGGGCUCAACCUGGGAACUGCAUUCGAAACUGGCAGGCUUGAGUCUUGUAGAGGGGGGUAGAAUUCCAGGUGUAGCGGUGAAAUGCGUAGAGAUCUGGAGGAAUACCGGUGGCGAAGGCGGCCCCCUGGACAAAGACUGACGCUCAGGUGCGAAAGCGUGGGGAGCAAACAGGAUUAGAAACCCUAGUAGUCCC
rnacentral:rRNA from 1 species